rnacentral:tRNA from 1 species
GAUGAAUAGCUCAAUGGCAGAGCGUCCCGUUGUUAGCGGGAGGGUUAAAAGUUCGAAUCUUUUUUCAUCCU